rnacentral:miRNA from 1 species
AGCUGCCGACUCAUCCAUUCA